UAAUUCGUGGAAGGUAAACCCAAAAGAUUUAGUUUGAAAUAUGAACUACUUAAUUUCACUGGACACAGAGCGAGGGGGGAAGAAUUUGUGGAAUUUUUAGUAAAUUAUUCCAUGAUCAAUAAGAGGAGAAGCUAGUGGUAAUGGUAUGCCAUGCCUGUUAUAAAUAAACACUGAAACUGGGCCAUUUCUGUGAUUUUGACUGUCACCAUUCUCACCUCAAUUAUUUUAUCCGUGGGACCCCGAUUCUCUCAGACACCCACUUCUAUUCCACUCAAAUCACCACCCACUUCUGUUCCACCACUCAAAUCGCCACUUUUCUACACUCAACUGCAUGUUCCUGUUCAAAUCGCUUAGACUUUAUGUAAUUUCUUAUCCCAUGACAACACUAAUUCAAAUGGAACACCAAGAAGAAAAGACCCAGAUUGGGAUUCUAGAUUUUCUUUGUAUUUCUGGUUGGAUCAUCAUGUAGAAUUGAUUGAUGAAUCUAUGAGCAACGUCAAUGGUUCUUGCCAUAUUUUUUUUUUUUCUUGAUCAAAUUGUGAGAUGAUAGCUUGUUUUGGGUAUCUGUGACUUGAAAAAAUAGAGGAUGGAGCAAGUAUUUUGCCAUAUUUUGAUUUAGGAGGAUGAAGAUUGUGUGAGUGAUAGCAAUUAGCAACAUUUAAAGCACUUCGAAAGCAGUGCAUGCAUGAAAAAAUCACUAGCAACAUGUUAGUGUGUUUGGAAGAAUGCUGAUUUUGGUGAACUUUUCCUUUCAAAAUUACUAUGCAAGUAAAAUUAACUUUUUUUUUUCCCUUUAAAAUGAGAAAAAAAAUCUCUUAAAAUGCAUUUGCAAGAGACAUUUUGGUGAACUUUUCUUAGUUUUGGAUGCCAAAUUAACUAUUUUUUUUCCUUUCUUCUAAAGUAGGAGCCAACUCAGCUCCUCAUAAAUUCCUUAGCUGAGGGAGUUUAAGGUUGGAGUUGAUUCAAACGCUUAAUAUGAAUUACAGUAUAUAUCGAACCAGUCGAGGUUUAAAUCAAGGAUGAGAUUCACUUUAAAACAGAUCUUGGAACCGGAUCUACUCAGCCUGAGUUGAGUUUAAUGAUCAAUCGUCAAAGUACAAAACUUGAGGACUUGCAUGGAAUUAAAAAACGAAACCAAAGACAAGGACCAGACUGAAACUCUUCCUCCUCCUAUCUUCAUAAAUGAAACUGAAUGGUUUUUUUCUUACCAUAAUAUCAAUUUUUGCUGUUGUUGUCUCUGAUGGUUGUGGUUAAAUUCUUUGCAAUGUACUUGUUUUCAAGCUCUAGAAUUUGGGUUUUUGGUGAGAAGUUGAUGGAUGCUGAUGAUGGGUUGAGAUUGAAGUAGAUGAGGUGCACUGUGAUUGAGUGUUGUAAGCCAAUUCGGUUUAUGUGUUUGUCGUCUAGGUUCAUAAUUUUGGGAGAGGAAAAUGGAGUUCGGGCUUUCAGUUCGAGAAAUUUAGUUAGAGAGAAAGUGAAGAGGGUGAAGAAUAUUCAAGGAUCAGGUUUUCCAAAUGGGGUAAUCGGGGAUGGUACUUUUGGUGGAUCAAGUCAAGAGAUUGGUUGCAAUGGUCGCGUGGAGGGGAGGAUUGAUCAGAGCAUUGUGUUUCUGUUAAGUUUUAAUGCAGAGGUCCACUAAAUGCAGACAAGACUCCAGUGAAGGGAGUGAAUAUUUUGUGGCAUUUAGGAGCAAGGAAGCUGACCACAUUGCCUUGCCUAAGUUUUUUGAUUUUGUUUAUUUCUGUCAAGCAGGAAAUCUAUGUUCCUGGAGAUAUUGGAUGAUUAUGACAGUUUGGGUGAGUCCUAAUUGAAUGUUCUCUUUUCAUUUUGGCGAUCACAUGUUCAUGCUGACUACAGUGGUAUUGAUUGUUAUUAUGUUUCUGAGUUUUGAGCUGCACAUGUCUUAUUUGUUGAAUAGUGAAAAAGGCUUCAAGCACACUGGUCUCUUGGAGACGGAAUCAUUGGAUAAGUUGAGUGCAAAUCAGGAAAUGACGGAAUUCCGAUUCCUGAAGAUUAACUUCUUGAACAACCCUGGUACCUCCAUUUAGCAGCCUGGCUUUUAUGAGUCAAAAGACAAACCUGCUGUAGACUUGUGAACUUUUCAGCUGUUGGUUCAUCUGUUUCUUUGGUCUUUUUGGAGCGAGCAGGUGCCAUGAUCUUUAGGCUGUCAAAGGAUCGUGACACCAACUGCUAAAUCAUAAUGUCAUAAAGAUUUUAGACAAGCUUGAAACAAUGUUCUGCUGCCAGUUAAGUGUUUGAAACUCCGUCAACAUUUAUUCUGCUACUGAUUUCUGCUAAAUUGUAAUGUUUGUGUUUCCUUUCUGACUUCGAUUAAGUCCAUUAAAAUGGGGUUACUGGGAUUAGAAUCAAAUUGACAGUAGUUCAACCAAAAGAAAUAAAAUUAUUUAUUCUGUUUGCCACCUUCCGGCGUUCAAACAUUGAUUUCUUUUUGUUGAAUCUAUUGUUGAUUGGGAUUCGCAUAUUCUCCAAGUGCCAACUUGCCACAUUGUGGGAUUUUUUAGCACUCUUUAUUAAGUUCAAGAAGAGAUUUAGACUGACUGGUCAGCAUAGUAAAUAUCUGGAGUUUUAUUGUUGUUACCCAGUUGGGGUUUAGGUAUUCUGAGUCCAAAUUUUGCAGAAAUAGAAAUUUUGGGGACAGAAUCUGGAUCUUUCAAAC